CUAAGUUUGAUGGCGACCGGCGCACGGGUGAGUAACACGUAUCCAACCUGCCGAUGACUCGGGGAUAGCCUUUCGAAAGAAAGAUUAAUACCCGAUGGCAUAGUUCUUCCGCAUGGUAGAACUAUUAAAGAAUUUCGGUCAUCGAUGGGGAUGCGUUCCAUUAGGUUGUUGGCGGGGUAACGGCCCACCAAGCCUUCGAUGGAUAGGGGUUCUGAGAGGAAGGGUCCCCCACAUUGGAACUGAGACACGGUCCAAACUCCUACGGGAGGCAGCAUG
rnacentral:rRNA from 1 species